rnacentral:rRNA from 1 species
UACGUAGGGCGCAAGCGUUGUCCGGAAUUAUUGGGCGUAAAGAGCUCGUAGGUGGCUUGUCACGUCGGGUGUGAAAGCUUGGGGCUUAACUCCAGGUCUGCAUUCGAUACGGGCUGGCUAGAGGUAGGUAGGGGAGAACGGAAUUCCUGGUGUAGCGGUGAAAUGCGCAGAUAUCAGGAGGAACACCAGUGGCGAAGGCGGUGCUCUGGGCCGGAACUGACGCUGAGGAGCGAAAGCGUGGGGAGCAAACAGG